rnacentral:lncRNA from 1 species
CAUUUCUUGGGCCGCUCCCGCGGCAUAUGGAGGUUCCCAGGCUUGGGGUCGAAUCGGAGCUGUAGCUGCCGGCCUAUGCCAGAGCCACAGCAAUGCGGGAUCCGAGCCGAGUCUGCAGCCUACACCACAGUUCACGGCAAUGCUGGAUCCUUAAUCCACUGAGCAAGGCCAGGGAUCGAACCUGCAACCCCAUGGUUCCUAGUCGGAUUCGUUAACCACUGCACAUGACGGGAACUCCUGCGUCCACGUUUUAAGAAUGAUUCCCUGACUCAAAUCUCUAGAACACUCGUCUCCUAAAUUACACCCCAUGUAUUCAUAUUCAAACCUCCACUAAUAGCUAAGACAGGCAACUAAGCAUCCACGUGCCCAAACCAGAACCCACAGUGUAGCCAACAUCCUCCCGAAUUCCUCAGUGUGACAGACCUUCCCCCCAUGUACACAGCCAGAAACCAUCUCUAAUCAUCUUUAUCCCUCUUAUUCCUCAUGGGCAAUCACCACACUGAAUUACAUUUUACUUUUUCACAACUCUUUCCUCCAGGUCGACCACUGCUAUGUUCCAUCAAAACCUUUCUCCUAGAGGGUUGUUACAAUAGAAACCUCACUGAUUCACAGCCUCAAGUCCCAAGUUCCAUUCACUGACCUUCUAAAGACCCAUCAGAUUAUUAUUUUUAACCCCCAAACCUGCUUCUGUCCUUCUUUCCAUUCUUACAUGAUUACUCCUCUCUACAGGAAAGAAUUUUCACGUGCUAGUGGAAUAUGAAUUGCAUCUAUGUUGGGGACCGGAGACUUAUAAUACAGAUGCUGGGUCUCCCACAAGGAAGUCAGUUUUAUAUUCCCUCCGGGUGAUUCUGGUUGGAUGGCAUGAGAUCAACCUGUAACAAACAACAGACUACAAGAUACAGAGCUCCUUUCAAGGAUAUACAACAUGCUUGCAGAUCAAGCCAGCACUUGAUAGCCUUGACAAGCCCAGGUCCCAUUUUCCAUAAUACUUCAUCUGGAAAUAAAAAUUAGUAUAGCCUACCUGCAUCAUCAUUUCCAAAAGCAAAGCACUAUAGUGUCCUAAGUAUAGUAUGGUGGAAGAAAAAAAAGGAAUGUACUUUAAAAUAAUUUCUUAUUUACAUAUUUGUGCAAAACCAGACUGGGAAAUAUCAUGAAGCAGACAGGUGCUCACGUCCAUACAUAGAAUCACCAUGAACACAACAGCUACAAACACAUCAACAUAUGCACAUUAAAACCUAACCACCAAUCCUUUGUGCCUAGAUGUGAAGCUGAGUAAAGGCAUAACUCUCCCAGACUUCAGGCAAUAUUACAAAGUGACAGUAAUCAAGACAGUGUGGUACUGGCAGCAAAACAGACAGACCCACCAAUGGAACAGAACAGAGAACCCAGAAAUAAACCCAGACACCCACAGUCAAUUAACCUUCAACAAAGGAAGCAAGAAAAUAAAAUGGGACAAAGAGUCUUUUCAGCAAGUGGUGCUGGGAAAAUUGGACAGCUGCAUCUAAAUCAGUGAAACUGGAACACGCCCUCACACCAUGCACAAAAAUAAACUCAAAAUGACUCAAAGACUUAAACCUAAGACAAGACACCAUCAGACUCCUAGAAGAGAACAUAGGCAAAACCUCCUGACAUCAACCUUACAAACGUUUUCUUAGGUCAGUCUCCCAAGGCAAUAGAAAUAAAAGCAAAAAUAAAACCAAUAGGACCUAAUCAAAGUAGCAAGCUUUGCACAGCAAAGGAAACCAUUAAAAAAAAAAAAAAAAAAAAAAGACAACCUACAGAAUGGGAGAAAAUAGUUUCAAAUGAUGCAGCUGACAAGGGCUUAAUCUCUAAAAUAUACAAGCAACUUAUACAACUCAACAGCAAAAAAAAACAACCACCCAAUUGAACCAAUGGGCAAACGACCUGAAUAGACAUUUCACCAAAGAAGAUAUAGAGGUGGCCAACAGGCACAUAAAAAAAUGCUCUACAUCACUGAUUAUUAGAGAAAUGCACAUCAAAACUACUAUGAGAUACCACCUCACACCAAUCACAAUGGCCAUCAUUAACAAGUCAAGAAAUAACAAAUGCUAGAGAGGGUAUGGAGAAAAGAGAACCCUCCUACACUGCUGGUGGGAAUGUAAAUUGAUACAACCGCCAUGGAAAACAGUAUGGUGGUAUCUCAGAAAAGUAAAUAUAGAACUACCAUAUGAUCCAGCAAUCUCACUCUUGGGCAUUUAUCCGGAAAAAAGCUUUCCUUGGAAAAGGACACAUGCACCUGCAUGUUCACUGCAGCACUAUUCACAAUAGCCAAGAUAUAGAAACCACCUAAAUGUCCAUCAACAGAUGAUUGGAUUAAGAUGUGGUAUAUAUACAAAAUGGAGUACUACUCAGCCAUAGAAAAGAACAAAAUAAUGCCAUUUUUAGCAACAUGGAACUGGAGACUCUCAUACUAAGUGAAGUUAAGUCAGAAAGAGACAAACAGCAUAUGAUAUCACCUAUAUCUGGAAUCUAAUAUAUGACACAAACGAACCUUUCCACAGAAAAACUCAUGGACUUGGAAAGCAGACUUGUGGUUGUGGGGGGGUGGGGGAAGGGAUUGGGAUGGACUGGGUUUAACAGAUGCAAACUAUUGCCUUCGGAAAGGAUAAGCAAUGAGAUCCUGCUGUAUAGCACUGGGAACUGUAUCUAGUCUCGUGAUGGAGCAUGAUGGAGGAUAAUGUAAGGAAAAGAAUGCAUAUAUAUGUGGGGGGGGGUGUGUGUGACUGGAUCACUUCGCUGUAUAGUAGAAAAUUGACAGAACACUGUAAAGCAACUAUAAUGGAAAAAAUAAAAAUCAUUUAACUAGUUUUAAAAAAGAAAUAGAACUGUUACAUUGACAUCAGAAAGAAAGAAAGAAAGAAAGAAAGAAAGAAAGAAAGAAAGAAAGAAAAGAAAGAAAAGAAAAGAAAGAAAAGAAAGAAAGAAAGAAAGAGAAAGAGAAAGAAAGAAAGAGCAAGCAAGCAAGCAAGCAAGCAGAGUCAGGUUCCAGAUCAAACACUUGAAACAGUAUUUGGUCCUAACCUUGCCUAAAGGUCUGGGGAGCCCUUCAAGCAUCACAUGAAGCACAGAGGAAUCUGUGCAGGACAGCCUAUGUGUUGCAGGGUACCAGCAUCCUGGGCUCUACUCACUAAAUGCCAGCAGGGUUCCCCCGAUCAGUGAGGACCAAAAAAAGCACCAUACCAGUUUCCAAGACACCUCCUAGAGUGAAGAGCCCCUACCCCACAAUCUAGCAUCCACUCCAUCACUCCACAUAAGUAAUUAAAGUGACCAUGAUUUUUAGGUCUCAAAUCCUGUAGAUACUUGUCUUUUCUCAUCCUGUCUGCAGUUGGUCUCAACAUGCUCUUCCCUUGACUAUUAGCGUAACAAACUCCCCCAAUUUUCUUACCUUCCUUUCACUCCUUAUUCUUAGUAUCCUUUAUGAGCUCAUCCCCUCCCCUACCUGGCCAUGAAAUAUUGCGAUUCGGUGACACCCACCCAGAGGCCUCCUUCCUUCCUCCGUCUCUGCUCUUUCUCUAGUCUCUUCCCCAUCGUUUCAAUCACCAUCUAUAUACCUCCAACCGUCUCAAGUUUGUAAUAUCCCAAGCAGACCUCUGUUCCCAACUCCAAAGCUAUCAAUGCAACUACCCAGUAACAUCGCUUUACAAUAUGUCCAAGGAGUUUAGCCAAACUGUCUCAUCACCUGCCAGCCACACGGCAGCCACCUCAGUUUCCCCUCAAAGCUUGGCCCUCUCCUCCUCGCUGGGUAAAUGGACCAGCAUCAGUCUAGGUAUCCACAUUGGAUACCUUGGGACUCUGUCCCAUGUGCAAUCCAUCCACAAAAUUCUAUGGACUUUCUCAGCUUGUUCACCAGUACUACUCCCGGGACCUAGCACAGCACGUGACACAAAUAAGUGUGCAAUAAAUAUAUAUGAAAUGAACAAGCGAGCGGCCUACUUGUGGACAUCUCCCUUCUUCCCCCCAAACCAUUUUCCCUGAUAUUCCUUCCACACAAACACAGCACUUUCACUCCAAAACCUUGUAAACAUCUACCCUUUAAUUCUCAGCCAAACUGACACAUUCUCAGCCCAGUUUCCCUUGGGCUCUUUCCCCUCUGCUCUCACAGUAAACACAGCACCUCGGCCACACCAUCACUACCUUGUGAUGACUUGGCAUGACAACACCCUUCCUUCCUUUGGAUCUGAACACAUGACAAAUAGGCAGGAUCUAUUACUUCGUAAUGAUUUCAUUACUAGUUUCAACUCUGUCUCCAUCUAUCCCAUCCCAUCCUGCCAAGCAGGGGUGGGAAGGGCCAAGUACAUUUAAGAGAAAGGAAUGACCCGUCCUGGUGUGUUCUCAUGGCGACAUGAAACCAGAUACCAUGUUUCUAUUAGUCAUGAUACCCUCUUUAUUCCUUCCCAAACAUGGUCAAGGGCAUGUGAGGGACCCGAGGAAGAAGCCAUGUCCACAAGUCAGCCACUGCCUGCGAGGUGGCGGCCAAAGCCUCUCAGGUAAGGAUCAACACUGUAGAGGUACAUGUUUCUGACUGUGGGAAAAGUUGUUAGCAAAAGACUACACACACACACAAAGCUAUUCAACCACAAGCCUGGAGGAGAAUCAAAAUAAGCCGAAGCUUAAUUAGAGUUGAAGAUUUCCCGUCUGGGAUGCAUGUUAGGGACUGAGCUUCAAAGUCAUCACCCAGGAGGCAAUUCUAUCGCCAGUGGAACCGGCCUCUGAGAACACUAGAUGCAAAGCUGGGGGUUUUUUAAAAAUUGUUCACAUAAUCCAGCAUUCACAACCUGUGUGUGUAUAUGUGUGUGUCUGUUUCCUAACCUCAACUCCAGGCACUGCUGAAACCUGGUGCUCUCAGCUCUCUGCUGCCCAGCUCCUCUCCCCUACCAUAAAUUAAGUUAAUGAGGAGUUCUCUGAAAGAGAACAUUCUCUUAAAGGCUCUGUUAUUCCGAAGUCAAUGGCUCUGACAUACAGCCAGGCCAAACAGUCACAGGCAGCAAUAACUCUUGCAGCAGCUCCAAAACUUAGCCUCAAAUGUCACCGAGUCCUCCCCUGAUCUCUCUUCCCCUUUGAUUAUCACUGGUUGCCUUCCUUCCUCCCCUAACAUUUUACAGCAAACGCGAAUGCAUCAAAGAAACCAGUUAAGGAUGUGAAGAUUGAGAAACACAUUCAAUCUGAAUGUUAUGAUCUUGUCUUUUCCUUCCCACAGCUUGUCUCAGUGAGAAAAGGACAAGUGUAAAUUUGAUGUCCCACAGAACAGAACAACAAAAAUACAUCUAAGCCAACAAGAGGGGUGGGCAUUUCUAAAUGCCAGCACGCUCAUCUAAUACUUAGCACACACACUUAGUGCAAGGAUUAGGUCCUCUUUGUGAGGGGUUCAUGAUUUUUACACGAGAAAUGAGUGGACACGUACGUAAUGAGGUAAUCAAGCCAACUUGACAGACACAACUGCUUCAAAUCACCUUCCGCAACUAACAUCCAGUGAGAUGAGGAUCCAAAUGUAAAAAGGCAAACGAAAUUGCUGGGGAAUCCGGUUUGGAUGCACCUAAUGGGUGCAAGAUCAGCACAAACCUGAUGAAAGUCACUCAGGUCCUUAAGCCUUCAAUGCAAAAGGUUAAACGCAUGUUUAUAAAUCAGCUCCCCGAUCUUGAAAAUAAACAUCAUUUUCUGGAUAAGAUGAGUCUAAAGACCUGUGUCUAUAAUUUGAUCUACAGAUUUGUGCGGAUAUUCCCAAAUUUCAGCACUUAUGCUCCAAAAAGAAGGAACAGAGAACCAUAAAAGGUUGUAUUUACUUUCUCUAACUGACCAUGGCUUAAUGAGCCGGCGAUAGCUUUCAAAUAAUUCAUCGGUGUACUCCACAAAGCAGUCUGUCAUCUAAUGGCCACGGGUUCCAAAAUAAUAGCUAUAGUGAUGAAGACAGGUGAAAGGAGACCCACGUGAUGGGCAGAUACCUGGAGAAGGGAGCUUCCCUUGGCAAGUAUGGGUGAGAUAAUGAUUAGACCUCGGAAAGGCCGCAUGUACGCUCUUCUGCUUAGUCUGGGCUGCCUUCCUCUAUGCAUAGUUAUAGAACUCUAUCUAUAAAAAAAUUAAGUUUCAUGAGGCGUCUUCACACACAUUUAUUUCAUGUGAUCCCACAGCAAUCCGUCAAGUCAUCACACCCACUUCACAGACCAGAAAACUGAGGUUCAGGAAAUGACACAAAGAACAAGUGAUCUGAGAAGUCCAACACGUACCUUCUGAUCCUGAGCAAUAGGUUCUGUUUUUAUUCUUAGAUUUAAAACUAAAUAACAGGAAUAAAUACUGCAGGAAAAUGAACACCUAGGGAAUCUGCAACCAUCUCUGAGUCAGGAAGAUCACAAGCAAAAGUUAUGCACAGCAAAGUAAGUAGUGAGCUUGCUUCAUGAUUGGUAGCUAUCAAGUGGAAAUUGGCAUCCUUUGAGUCUAUCUCCAAAACCUAU